AUGGCGUUCGGAACAGAGCGGGAACUCCGUCCAGGUUUGCUGAGUGAAUCAACAAAUGUCCAACCUCAUCGGCAGAUUGGAGCCUUCAGGGAGACAUCGUCGCUCCUUUCCCACACCUCGUUGGAAGACAGAACAGGAGGGAGCACUUGGGUUUCUCUACAGCAGAGGUCUCUGAGCGGUACUGGUGAGUUUCUAGGCUGGAAACCACAGGUGGCCCUUCCUGAAAUGAUUCAACAUCCAACUUGGACUCAGCACCAGCCGCUCCCUGCUCGCUCCAGGUGGUCAGUCCCAAAGGACCAGGCCAGGAC
rnacentral:lncRNA from 1 species